rnacentral:rRNA from 1 species
GACGAACGCUGGCGGCGUGCUUAACACAUGCAAGUCGAACGGAAAGGCCCUGCUUUUGUGGGGUUCUCGAGUGGCGAACGGGUGAGUAACACGUGAGUAACCUGCCCUUGACUUUGGGAUAACUUCUGGAAACUGGGGCUAAUACCGGAUAGGAUCUCCUGCUGCAUGUUGGGGGUUGGAAAGUUUCGGCGGUUGUGUAUCGACUCGCUGCUUAUCAGCUUGUUAGUGGGGUAGUGGCUUUCCAAGGCUUUGACGGGUAGCCGGCCUGAGAGGGGGACCGGCGACCUGGGGACUGAGAUACGGAGCAGACUCGAACGGGAGGCAGCAGUGGGGAAUAUUGCACAAUGAGCGGAAGCCUGAUGCAGCAACGCCGCGUGCGGGAUGACGGCCUUCGGGUUGUAAACAGAUUUGGACUGUGACAAAGCGUGAGUGACGGUAAUGGGUCAAGAAGCACCGGCUAACUACGUG